UACGUAGGUGGCAAGCGUUAUCCGGAUUUAUUGGGUGUAAAGGGCGUGUAGGCGGGAGCGCAAGUCAGAUGUGAAAACUCAGGGCUCAACCCUGAGCCUGCAUUUGAAACUGUGUUUCUUGAGUGCUGGAGAGGCAAUCGGAAUUCCGUGUGUAGCGGUGAAAUGCGUAGAUAUACGGAGGAACACCAGUGGCGAAGGCGGGUUGCUGGACAGUAACUGACGCUGAGGCGCGAAAGCGUGGGGAGCAAACAGG
rnacentral:rRNA from 1 species